rnacentral:rRNA from 1 species
CGCAGCUACCAUGCAGUCGAGCGGAUGACGGGAGCUUGCUCCUUGAUUCAGCGGCGGACGGGUGAGUAAUGCCUAGGAAUCUGCCUGGUAGUGGGGGACAACGUUUCGAAAGGAACGCUAAUACCGCAUACGUCCUACGGGAGAAAGCAGGGGACCUUCGGGCCUUGCGCUAUCAGAUGAGCCUAGGUCGGAUUAGCUAGUUGGUGAGGUAAUGGCUCACCAAGGCGACGAUCCGUAACUGGUCUGAGAGGAUGAUCAGUCACACUGGAACUGAGACACGGUCCAGACUCCUACGGGAGGCAGCAGUGGGGAAUAUUGGACAAUGGGCGAAAGCCUGAUCCAGCCAUGCCGCGUGUGUGAAGAAGGUCUUCGGAUUGUAAAGCACUUUAAGUUGGGAGGAAGGGCAGUAAGCUAAUACCUUGCUGUUUUGACGUUACCGACAGAAUAAGCACCGGCUAACUCUGUGCCAGCAGCCGCGGUAAUACAGAGGGUGCAAGCGCUAAUCGGAAUUACUGGGCGUAAAGCGCGCGUAGGUGGUUUGUUAAGUUGGAUGUGAAAGCCCCGGGCUCAACCUGGGAACUGCAUCCAAAACUGGCAAGCUAGAGUACGGUAGAGGGUGGUGGAAUUUCCUGUGUAGCGGUGAAAUGCGUAGAUAUAGGAAGGAACACCAGUGGCGAAGGCGACCACCUGGACUGAUACUGACACUGAGGUGCGAAAGCGUGGGGAGCAAACAGGAUUAGAUACCCUGGUAGUCCACGCCGUAAACGAUGUCAACUAGCCGUUGGAAUCCUUGAGAUUUUAGUGGCGCAGCUAACGCAUUAGUUGACCGCCUGGGGAGUACGGCCGCAAGGUUAAAACUCAAGGAAUUGACGG